rnacentral:rRNA from 1 species
CGCGUAGGUGGUUUGUUAAGUUGGAUGUGAAAUCCCCGGGCUCAACCUGGGAACUGCAUUCAAAACUGACUGACUAGAGUAUGGUAGAGGGUGGUGGAAUUUCCCGUGUAGCGGUGAGAUGCGUAGAUAUAGGAAGGAACACCAGUGGCGAAGGCGACCACCUGGACUGAUACUGACACUGAGGUGCGAAAGCGUGGGGAGCAAACA